UCUGUUUGCAUUCCACCAAGGGAAGACCUCGAAAAGAAAUAUACAAGCUGUAAGAAUACGUUCCAGUCAUACAAAGAAUACUAUUGCCAGCAUCCUCUUGCACAAAAGCUCCUCAAACUGCAGAGUGACAAAGAGGGGAUUGAGAGAAGGAUCAAGGCUUAUGAUGAAGAAAUAACAAUAAAAGAGAAAAGCCUGGCACAUCUUACUGAUAUUUCUACAACCUCUGAUGAAAUAACAGACAGGGCUGACCAGAAACCCUUGAAAGAAUCAGAAAAGCAACUGAGUCCUCCAGCAGUAGAGGACAGAGCUUCUAUCGACAUUUCCUCUUUUCAUACUGUCGAGACAGCGGCAAAUACUGAAGAUAUUCACGAGGAACAUGAUCAGCAGGACACGGCUCACUGCAUCGCUGCAGCAGAGGAAACUGGUAACGAGCUGCUCUCAACUCACCAGCAGUUGAAUGAACAAACAUCGAAGAAUGAAAAUCACUCAGAAAAGCAGGACCAGGAAACUUUACCAGAGAAAGUAAAUGCGGAACAGUCCAGCGUUGAAGGCACUGGGGAGGAAGAUGAUCAGAACAUGAACGUCACAGCUAUGGAGGAGGAAGAGGCCUCAGUCCCAGAGAACACUGAAGUAGCCUCUAUGUGUACUGGUGCGUCUCAAGAAACAAAUCUCCGGUCUCCCUCCACAACAGGCAAAACUGAGCCUUCCACCCCAACUUUCAAAUUUAACCCUGGCUUUUCCGCACUUCAAGAGACUCCUGAUAACAAAUCUCCAGCUUUCCCAUUCUCGCUGAGCUCAGACCCCAGCCCGGCCGUCUUCCCUGGGUUCAGAUUUGACAUGGGCUCAUUACAGGAUGAGGACAUAUCCUUUGGUUUCACUGGACCUUUUUUCAGUGAGAAAGUAAGACAUUUUCACUGGCUCUUAUAA
rnacentral:lncRNA from 1 species